CCUACGGGAGGCAGCAGUGAGGAAUAUUGGUCAAUGGGCGCGAGCCUGAACCAGCCAAGUAGCGUGAAGGAUGACUGCCCUACGGGUUGUAAACUUCUUUUAUAAAGGAAUAAAGUGAGGCACGUGUGCCUUUUUGUAUGUACUUUAUGAAUAAGGAUCGGCUAACUCCGUGCCAGCAGCCGCGGUAAUACGGAGGAUCCGAGCGUUAUCCGGAAUGACUGGGCGUAAAGGGUGCGUAGGUGGUUUGACAAGUUGGUAGCGUAACUCCGGGGCUCAACCUUGGCAGUACUACCAAAACUGUCGGACUUGAGUGCAGGAGGAGCAAGUGGAAUGCCUAGUGUAGCGGUGGAAUGCGUAGAUAUUAGGAGGAACACCAGUGGCGAAGGCGAUUUGCUGGACUGUAACUGACACUGAGGCACGAAAGCGUGGGGAGCGAACAGGAUUAGAUACCCCAGUAGUC
rnacentral:rRNA from 1 species